rnacentral:misc_RNA from 1 species
UCUAGAAAUGUUUACGUGGGAACUUGCAAAGCUUGACCUGGAAUCUCACCACUGUAACACUUGCCAACAGCGCCUUUAACUUAAAAUAAAGUCGCAGCAAAUGUCAAGUGUAACUUUAACACUGAGUUUUUUAAAAGGGUCCUGUCACUAACAACAAAAAAUAUUUAUGUUGUUAAGAGCCGGCAACAAAAGACGGGCGACAUCGCGUCUUCGCCAGAACAUCUGCAAUUCUACAUUUAUGUGCGAAUGCUGUUAAAGUUGGUACUACAGACAUAGUCACCAUGUAAUAAGAGGAUACCAAUGACUCACCAGUUUUCAAGACUUUUAAUACGAAGACAAGGAAAUAAACCAGCUGCAUCAGAAGUUCUGAAUGCAUACUUAACACAAUGUAAAAAGCCACCAUGGACAUCUUACUUUGUGAAAUACACCAGUGUUUAUGAUGACCAAUGGGGCCAGUCGCAUUUUAACUGGCCAGUUCAAGAAACAAAUUAUCAUAUUCUCCGCACAGGAUGUUAUCCUUACAUAAAGUAUCACUGUACAAAGAGACCAUAUCAAGAUCUUCAGCUUGAAGAUACAUUCUUUCGUUUUAUAAAGAUUGCUAAUUUAGAAAAAAUUGAGGAAUCUGGAAAGAUGAGGAAAGGGCAAGGUGUAUUUAAAAAUAGGGGAAAAUGCAUACUGAUAAUUGAGAGAUUUAUGAAACUGAGGACAAAGAAUGAAUAGGAACAAUAAAACUGAAUUAUAGUGCAAGAGAAGGAAACUGGAAGAACUAUUGAAGGAAUAUGGAAUGGAGGUAUACCCUGCUUAGCUUAUGGCUUAGCUGCUACUCUUCUUAUCAAACACAUAGAAAUUGUGCACACUUCAAAAGGUAAUGUAAAAAUAUAUUUCUUAUACAAGGAAGACAAAGGAU